CUACGUGCCAGCAGCCGCGGUAAUACGGAAGGUCCAGGCGUUAUCCGGAUUUAUUGGGUUUAAAGGGAGCGUAGGCUGGAGAUUAAGUGUGUUGUGAAAUGUAGACGCUCAACGUCUGACUUGCAGCGCAUACUGGUUUCCUUGAGUACGCACAACGUUGGCGGAAUUCGUCGUGUAGCGGUGAAAUGCUUAGAUAUGACGAAGAACUCCGAUUGCGAAGGCAGCUGACGGGAGCGCAACUGACGCUGAAGCUCGAAGGUGCAGGUAUCGAACAGGAUUAGAUACCCUGGUAGUCCGCACAGUAAACGAUGGAUGCCCGCUGUUGGUACCUGGUAUCAGCGGCUAAGCGAAAGCAUUAAGCAUCCCACCUGGGGAGUACGCCGGCAACGGUGAAACUCAAAGGAAUUGACGGGGGCCCGCACAAGCGGAGGAACAUGUGGUUUAAUUCGAUGAUACGCGAGGAACCUUACCCGGGCUUGAA
rnacentral:rRNA from 1 species